GAUGAACGCUAGCGGGAGGCCUAACACAUGCAAGCCGAGCGGUAUUGUUUCUUCGGAAAUGAGAGAGCGGCGUACGGGUGCGUAACACGUGUGCAACCUGCCUUUAUCUGGGGGAUAGCCUUUCGAAAGGAAGAUUAAUACUCCAUAAUAUAUUGAACGGCAUCGUUUAAUAUUGAAAGCUCCGGCGGAUAGAGAUGGGCACGCGCAAGAUUAGCUAGUUGGUGAGGUAACGGCUCACCAAGGCGAUGAUCUUUAGGGGGCCUGAGAGGGUGAUCCCCCACACGGGUACUGAGACACGGACCAGACGCCUACGGGAGGCAGCAGUGAGGAAUAUUGGUCAAUGGGUGCAAGCCUGAACCAGCCAUCCCGCGUGAAGGACGACUGCACUAUGGGUUGUAAACUUCUUUUGGAUAGGGAUAAACCUACCCUCGUGAGGGUAGCUGAAGGUACUAUACGAAUAAGCACCGGCUAACUCCGUG
rnacentral:rRNA from 1 species